ensembl:misc_RNA 7SK 7SK RNA
AUCUGGCUAUGACAUUUGUCACCUAAGUGAUCUCCAGUGUUAAUUCAUCUGAUCUGGCUGGCCAGGCAGGUGUCCCCUU